CGGGAUGUGGCUCAGUUUGGUAGAGCGUUCGGUUCGGGACCGAGAGGUCGCUGGUUCAAAUCCAGUCAUCCCGACCA
rnacentral:tRNA from 1 species